rnacentral:rRNA from 1 species
CGGAACCGAGAGCGGCGGACGGGUGAAGGAAGCGUGGGAAUCUGCCUGUAGAGUGGGGGAUAGCCCGGAAGAAAUCCGGAUUAAUACCGCAUAAUACCUGAGGGUUAAAGUGGAGGAUCGCAAGACUUCACGUCUACAGAUGAGCCCACGUCAGAUUAGCUAGUUGGUAGGGUAAAGGCCUACCAAGGCGACGAUCUGUAGCUGGCCUGAGAGGGUGGCCAGCCACACUGGAACUGAGACACGGUCCAGACUCCUACGGGAGGCAGCAGUGGGGAAUAUUGGACAAUGGGCGCAAGCCUGAUCCAGCCAUGCCGCGUGUGUGAAGAAGGCCUUCGGGUUGUAAAGCACUUUAAGUUGGGAGGAAGGUUUGAUGGUUAAUACCCGCCAGAAUUGACGUUACCAACAGAAUAAGCACCGGCUAAUUCCGUG